UACGGGGGGGGGCAAGCGUUGUUCGGAAUUACUGGGCGUAAAGGGCGCGUAGGCGGUGCUCUAAGUCGGAUGUGAAAACUCUGGGCUCAACCCAGAGCCUGCAUCCGAAACUGGAGUGCUAGAGUUCUGGAGGGGGUAGCGGAAUUCCUGGUGUAGCGGUGAAAUGCGUAGAUAUCAGGAGGAACACCGGUGGCGAAGGCGGCUACCUGGACAGAAACUGACGCUGAGGCGCGAAAGCUAGGGGGAGCAAACAGG
rnacentral:rRNA from 1 species